AACGAACGCUGGCGGCAUGCUUAACACAUGUAAGUCGAACGGGAACUUCGUGCCUGGUCCCGCACUGGCGCGUAACUGGUGGGCACCUGCGCUUAGGUUCCGGAUAACUCGCCGAAAGCGGUGCUAAUACCGGUUAAAGCCUUCGUACCAAAGAUUUAUCGUCUUUGGCUGGGCGCGCGUUGGCUUUGCUAGUUGGUAGCGUAACCGCCCACCAAGGCGACGUUCCAUAGCUGAUCUGAGAGGAUGACCAGCUGCACUGGGACUGAGACACGGCCCAGACUCCUACGCGAGGCAGCAGUAGGGAAUAUUGGACACCGGGCGAAAGCCUGAUCCAGCCACGCCGCGUGAGAGAUGAAGCCCUUAGUAUUGCAAAGCUCUUUUACCCGGCACGACAGUGACAGUACCGGGAGAAUAAGCUCCGGCUAACUCCGUG
rnacentral:rRNA from 1 species